AUUGAACGCUGGCGGCAGGCUUAACACAUGCAAGUCGAGCGGGGUGAUGGUGCUUGCACUAUCACUUAGCGGCGGACGGGUGAGUAAUGCUUAGGAAUCUGCCUAUUAGUGGGGGACAACAUCUCGAAAGGGAUGCUAAUACCGCAUACGUCCUACGGGAGAAAGCAGGGGAUCACUUGUGACCUUGCGCUAAUAGAUGAGCCUAAGUCGGAUUAGCUAGUUGGUGGGGUAAAGGCCUACCAAGGCGAGGAUCUGUAGCGGGUCUGAGAGGAUGAUCCGCCACACUGGGACUGAGACACGGCCCAGACUCCUACGGGAGGCAGCAGUGGGGAAUAUUGGGCAAUGGGGGGAACCCUGAUCCAGCCAUGCCGCGUGUGUGAAGAAGGCCUUAUGGCUGUAAAGCACUUUAAGCGAGGAGGAGGCUCUUUUGGUUAAUACCCAAGAUGAGUGGACGUUACUCGCAGAAUAAGCACCGGCUAACUCUGUGCCAGCAGCCGCCGUAA
rnacentral:rRNA from 1 species